rnacentral:rRNA from 1 species
UGCCUUAGUAACUGCGAGUGAAGCGGCAAAAGCUCAAAUUUGAAAUCGGUGUCCAUAAAGUACAUCGAGUUGUAAUUUGGAGGGACAACUUCGGGCCGAACCACACCGUAAGUUUUUUGGAACAGGACAUCAUAGAGGGUGAGAAUCCCGUGUCUUGGUGUAGGGUCAAACCAUGUGAAGUGUCUCCGACGAGUCGAGUUGUUUGGGAAUGCAGCUCAAAAUGGGUGGUAAAUUUCAUCUAAAGCUAAAUAUUGGCGAGAGACCGAUAGCGCACAAGUAGAGUGAUCGAAAGAUGAAAAGCACUUUGAAAAGAGAGUUAAAAAGUACGUGAAAUUGUUGAAAGGGAAGCGCUUGCGACCAGACUCGAUCUUUGGAGAUCAGCCGGGCUUCGGUUCGGUGCCCUCUUCAUUGAUUGGGCCAGCAUCGGUUCCGGCGGUGGGAUAAAAGGAGGAGGAAUGUGGCUCCCCUCGGGGAGUGUUAUAGCCACCUUCACAAUGCUACCAGUUGGGACCGAGGACCGCGCUUCGGCUAGGAUGCUGGUGUAAUGGUCUUAAGCGACCCGUCUUGAAACACGGACCAAGGAGUCUAACAUCUAUGCGAGUGUUCGGGUGGAAAACCCUUGCGCGUAAUGAAAGUGAACGGAGGUGUGAACCCUUUGCCGGGUGCAACAUCGACCGGUCCUGAUGUCUUCGGAAGGAUCUGAGUAAGAGCAUAGCUGUUGGGA